UGAAAACAGCUGAUACUUGUGUUUUCGAUGGUUGGCAAUGCACAAACCAAAAGGAAAACGAAAACACAAGGAGGGGAACAGUUGAUGGAUCAAAAUAACAACGGCAGAAAAAGGAAAACACAAAUUAACUGCACGCUUGUUAUAAGGGCAAAAAACCAAACAAUUUUGCAAAUUGGAAAACACAAAAGGUUUGGUGUCCACUUAGGUGGUUAAUCCUCCUGGAACGUCCCACACAAUAACCCACUUCAUACAAAUAAAAAACAGAAAUUUACCAAGAAAUUUCGGGAACACAGUAAAAACACGUCUACUUCACACGUAUGCCUCAACACGUAUCCAUAUUUGUAUGUUGGUUUGUGUCUACAUUAUUUGUUCGGCAAUGUUGUACACAUAUGAAUAUGUAUGUACAUAUAUACAACCAUAUUUAUGCAUAUUUAUAUAAAUUAUAUAAUAUUAUCAAACAUUAUAAAUAUUUAAUAAACAACUCUUAUUCGAACAUUAACUACAAAUAUAGUUUUGAAAAUAGCAUAAUUUAAUUAUAAUGUUAUCAGUUUUGCAUGUAUUCAGAAAAGUACGCAAAAUGAUAUUCAUAUCAAUUAAUAUGAUUACAUGUAAACGUAUAAAAUUAUAUCCAAAAGACUAAUGCCGGGUUUUCACUAGGUCAUAUUUGACGUCAAAUGCUGUCAAAAUAAUUAAAACGGCAUGUUGGCAAAUUAUUUCCAUUUGCCGCGCGAAUGAUGUGCAAAAAUAAAUAAAAAAGAUUUUUCACUUUUCAAGUUUCAAAAUGGCAGAAGAAAUGAGUGCAAAUACAGAAAUGUUAAUUCCAAGCAUCAAGCGGGUGCGAAAAAUGAACGCAAAGUGGACAGCGGAGGAGACUGAGCAACUAAUUCAAGAAGUGGAGUCAAGAGAAGGAACCUGGAAUUUCCUUUCCGCGGAUUAUCGCGAUAGGAAUUUGUGUGAGGCUCAGUGGCAUGAAGUGGCAGAAACAUUAAAUAUGCCACGAGCCGAAGUAUCAGCCAAGUGGAACAGCCUUCGUUGUUCUUUUCGCGCGGCCUUCAACCGAAGGGCUCAUACAAAAAGUGGACAAGGAACCCACUCUACAAUUCGCUAAAGUUCCUCGAGCCUACAUUAAAAGUUGAAGCGAGCACCACUUCAAAUUUAAUAAAUGACAGCUCGUCGACCCUGACCACUCCAACAAUAUUGUUUGAUUCGGAAACGGUAUCUGGCGAUAUACCACCAACGCCAUCUACAUCACGACCCAAUUUAAGGAAACGUCGUGUUGAAAAAAACGACGAUGGAUACAUUGAAGUGGUUCAACGUGCGCUGGAGACCCUCACAUCUGCUACAAAAACUGAUGCUUGGAAUGAUUUAGGCAACUUUGUGACAUCAAACGGCCGUGAGUGGGACCAAGAAUCUCCACAGCUGGCCAGAGAAUUCAAGCAGGACAUAUGUGAGUUGAUAUUUAAGUAUCAGCAGAAAUUCACACGAUAAAAACAGUUGCAGAAUUGUAUAUGUAAUAAAACAUAAUUUUGCUGUUAUUUUAUAGCUCAG